rnacentral:lncRNA from 1 species
CCAGAGUACCAGCUUUGGAAUUCCCUCCUGGUUCUCCUUCAGCUGGAUUCCAAGCACAGUUUUUGGCAGUCAGGUCUACAUGCAAACUCACAGUGGUGAGCACCUGGCCACCACUUCCCACAUAGCUGGACUGUGGCCCAGCCCUGCAAACAAAUCCCUCUCCCUAGCACUCUAUCCCGGACUGUCCCUUGCCUUCCUAGAACAGGAAAGACAAAUAGGUUUCUUCUCAUCACUACUAUUCUGGUGAACUUGUUACUGGUAACUUGUUUUGUGUGUGUGUGUGUGUGUGUGUGUG